UCUAAAUGUAUAUCUUAAAAUUGGUAUUUUAAAACAUAACUCCAAAUCUUAGAUUUAAAUUCUAAAAUUAGUUUUUUCAAACUUUAACUUAAAAUCACAAUCUUUAAACAAUAAGUCUAUUUUCAUUAACCUUAAUUUCAAUUUUCUACAAAUAUUUUGUGACUUUCUGUAUUAAAAAGAAAACAAAAUAAUAAAAAAAUCUGAUUGGUCAAAAACUGACCACUAAGGUGCAAGUGCGAGGAUCACACUUUCUUUUAACCACAGCCAAUAGAUUAAACUAAAUCCAAUGGCCAAUAAUGAACAAACUUAAAAUGUGUUUCUUCUAAAAACCAAAUCGACAUCGUGUUCUUUAUCCUUUUUCGAUCUUCUUCAUCCUUACACAACCACCAUCACUAUAACCUCUGACGCCGCCAUCUCGCCGUCAAUGAAGCUAUCUCAACCACCAUAAGCUCAGCCGCUGCCAUCAUCAUCUUCAUCUCGAUCUCCUUGUUCUCUACUAAACCUCACCAGCAGACUUUGCCUCCGUGUCCACCACAGCUCGUCGUCGUUACAACCACAUCUCCAUCGUCACCACCAUAGCUUCGUCCAGAGGCUACGAUAAAGAAAUCGUUUCACCUCUUCACCACAACGACAGAUCUAAGAAGGAACAGGGAAGGAGAAUAAGUUGUGUUACAGAGCAGCGUAUCCGCUUUAAGGAGAUAUCUUUCCGGAGUCGGAACGAGGGAGUGGAGUCGGACCUGUGUUGUAUUCUGUAGGAGAGAUGUUGACACGGGAAGGAGAAUUGGUGGAGGAGUUUGUGAUGCUGGAUAAUGGAAGCGUGUUUGAAAGCGUUGACGGUGUGGAGGAGCCAGUAAAGGUGGCGGCGAGGUGAAGCUCUGAGAAUAUUAGAGAUAUUAGUUUUUUUUGUUUUUUUUUGGUUUACAAUUAAACCAAAUUUGUCUUUUUUUAAUGUUUUUUUUGUUUAAUGUGUAAACUGAUUUAAUUGUAAACUGAUUAUAAUUAAUGAAUAGAUUUUA